UACGAGGGGGGCGAGCGUUGUUCGGAAUUAUUGGGCGUAAAGGGUGCGUAGGCGGUUCCGCAAGUCCUGUGUGAAAUCUUCGGGCUCAACUCGAAGUCUGCACGGGAAAACUGCGGGGCUUGAGUGUGGGAGAGGUGAGUGGAAUUCCCGUGUAGCGGUGAAAUGCGUAGAUAUCGGGAGGAACACCUGUGGCGAAAGCGGCUCACUGGACCAUAACUGACGCUGAUGACACGAAAGCUGGGGGAGCAAACAGG
rnacentral:rRNA from 1 species